AUUGAACGCUGGCGGCAUGCCUUACACAUGCAAGUCGAACGGUAACAGGUUAAGCUGACGAGUGGCGUACGGGUGAGUAAUGUAUCGGAACGUGCCCAGUCGUGGGGGAUAACUGCUCGAAAGAGCAGCUAAUACCGCAUACGACCUGAGGGUGAAAGCGGGGGAUCGCAAGACCUCGCGCGAUUGGAGCGGCCGAUAUC
rnacentral:rRNA from 1 species